CGGGUGGAGUAACGCGNAGGCAACCUGCCUCCAAGAUGGGGACNACACUCCGAAAGGGGUGCUAAUACCGAAUGUUGUAAUGCUGCUGCAUGGCAGUAUUACCAAAGGUGGCUUUUAGCUAUCGCUUGGAGAUGGGCCUGCGUCUGAUUAGCUGGUUGGUGACGGUAACGGCGCACCAAGGCGACGAUCAGUAGCCGGUCUGAGAGGAUGAACGGCCACAUUGGGACUGAGACACGGCCCANACUCCUACGGGAGGCAGCAGUGGGGAAUCUUCCGCAAUGGGCGAAANCCUGACGGAGCAACGCCGCGUGAACGAGGAAGGUCUUCGGAUCGUAAAGUUCUGUUGCNNNGGGACGAACGGCCACUAUAGCCAAUAAGUAUAGUGAA
rnacentral:rRNA from 1 species